AUAGGUGGACCGCAAUGUCAAAAUUGCUGUUCGGCCAUUGCUCGUGAAAAAACAAAUUUGUUUACAAAACAUAUCAUAUCUUUUGGUGACAAAUGCAUUCGUUGGCAAAAUAGCUGCUCGCGCUUCACUGUAGGCAGAUAUCUACAAUCAGCGGUCGAAUUAAAAACAGUGCAGAAGGAUGUUUUGAGUAUAUUUUACCUUCUAGCCGCGCAAUCAAGGAAAGGCUUCUUUUCAAGCAAGCAGCGUUUUUCGGCAAAAGCAUGAAAUAGAAUCGUACGUGGUACGAAUUUAUCGGCACAAUCUGAUCAAGGACGGAGGCAUCAUCAAACGGAAACUACGCGAAAAACUUUUCGAAGAGAUAAAACUGCGCCGCAACACUUGUGUGAAAAUGGACGAGUUGGGCUGGGUGCUGAUGAACCACAAUUUGAUAACACGUAAUGAGCCAAUCCAACAGCAUGCCAAUGGUAAUCGACCAAAUCAUUUUAAAUUGAACAUGGAGCGGUUGUGCAACCUACUGGAGCAGCAAGAACAGAACAAUCACUCUGGUAGGUCGGUUUGAUAUAUUUAUUCCGCUAAAGAAUGAUUAUAUUUGUUGAUUUUUCAGAGUUGACUUCCAAAAAGCAAAACAAAUUCCUGCGUAUGCUGGAUGCAAUUUUACAAAACGACAUAGUUUUGAAGGAAAUUAAAGAGAUGGUAGCGGCGAAUCGACUUCUAUCGGAAAUUCGUUAUGUGACUACGGUGGAACGUAUGAUGAAACACAAUUUGGACCCCUCUUUGCGCUGCUGCUUUGUAUGCCGAGAGUAUUUCCGCACUGCCGAUGAGUAUACCAGUCAUUUCGAAAAAUUGCACGGUGAGAAAUUUCUUAUUGUUGCAGCGGUGGAUCGAUUUCAGACUAGUCAAAAGUUCAACGUUCUACAUCACUACAAUGCCCUUAAUCCGGUGACAAUAUUCACGAUUUGCAACGUAUACCACACAGCCCUAAUAAAAAAAAAACAAGAAAAGACGGGUCUAAUAUUUUACAAUAAAGUCUACAAUCUACCACUUUCCACGAAAAUCGGAGAACCACUAUAUCGGUUAGACAUGGAAUGGCUGAUACAUAUAAGGCAGAAAAAAUGUUUAACUUUGGAAUUCAACAUCCUAUAUUUCCUCGUACCAUUAAGUUCAUGGCGCAUUUGAUGUCGGUCAUCGUAACUGCUUCUAUGGAAAUGACGUGAGCAUAUGAUUUGAUUUUUGAUUUUUAUCUCCAUCUCGGAGAAAAGUGUGGUAAACAAUGUCCGGGUUAUUUUUCGUUAUGAGAACCUUGUUUCCACAUCCUUUUACUGCACAAUAAUACGGCAUCUGAAGUAAAUAAAAUAUUCACAAUAUAAUUUUGGCAUGAUAGAGAACCGCGAGAUGAACGAUUAUCUGUGGAGGAGUUGGACAACAGAUUUCUUAGACUUAUAGCACUUUUAUCACACUCACAAGCUAAUCAAAUCCUCACUGUCCCCCAAAAAUAUUGAAUAUAUAAUUUUUUUACCAAAAUAUAUAUUUUAUGAAGGGGCCGUAGCUUGACGGGGCCGUGAGUCCAAUAUUUUAACAAUUUUUGUCUUACAACUAUGUUAGUAAUAUGUAACCGAUUACUCGCGGUUGGCUCGAGGUUAGUAUUACGAAGAUCUCAUAAUUGGGAUGUUGCAGUCUCCAGUACUAUGUAUGUGUGGCCGACACGGGAUACUUCCUAUUGGAGUAUAACUGACCAUUGAUCAGCGACGCCCCCCUAGUCUGUACCUCAUAUCAAUCGUGGUGCGUCUCUCUUGACUCGAGGAAUCCAGGGUAGAAUGGUCACUGGACGGUACAAUCUUCAGCUCGUGUAGAGUUGCCAUGAGCGGUACAACCUUUGGCUCUUGUUGAAUGAUCAGUGGCCUCCGACCUGUGUAUCUGUAAAGAGUAUGUGUAUGUUUAAUUACAUUACAUGGAGCGGUUAUAAUAUAUAAUAUAAAUACCUUAUUGCAGCUCUAGUACACUAUUUUUCACGAAUAUAUAUUUGCUUAUUUCUUUCUUCAGUUGUUUUCCUCAGCGAGUUGAUAUGAAACCAUAACGACACAACCAAACAAAAAGUAAACAAUGCAGAAAGCUACGUCUCGCAACUCGUCUCACGUAUUGUCAUGAAAGUGUCAAGAACGA